GUCAUUCCCCUGUACAUUUUCUCUUCAAGAUUCCCACAGCUGCCUACCACCCAAACAAAUUUCCCCAGGCCCCAAGCUUCUGUAGUAAGCACUACUCCUUUGAUCCGCCCUGGUUCUUGCUCCAUUUUCUUCCAAGUCAUUCAGCCUCUUUCUGUCGUGGGGAUUUUCUGUGUUGCCAUUAAGAUGCCAAAGUCCAUAAAUGUUGUAUUUCUGCUGAACCUGCUUGGCUAUUUCAAGGUCAUUGUCAUGGUGGCACUCGCUCAUCUGGGUCUGUUCCAUCCACCAGAGCAAGCUUACUCCGAGGAACACCCCGCCAGUACUUAUGUUGUUGUAAUGGACGGGCAAACCCCAUCACUAGUCCCGGUUCCAGUUGUGAUGGCAUGGAUCAAGAAGAGGGUUCCAGUAGUAGAAUAUGGAAGUUUCCUGGAAAGACUCGGGAUGCAUGAACACGAGGAUGCUGUAUGCAGUGUGUGUUUGGAUUGCAUCAAGAGAAGCCAUCAGAUCAGAGAGCUGUCCAACUGUUGUCAUGUGUUUCAUAAGGAGUGCCUGGACACUUGGGUGGAUGAGGGUCAGGUGACUUGCCCUUUGUGCAGAUCCAUGCUGUUUCCAGGCUCCAUCUAAGAAGGAGAAAGCAAAUUGGAAGAGAUCCAUGGAUAAGUGGCUUGUUACUUGGCUCAGGCUCUUUCCCUUCCAAAUGGGACGAAAGCAAUUUACCUAGGCGAUGACUCAGCUAUCAUAUCAGGGGAUUGGGAUCUUGAGUGGAGAAUGUCUCUCAGUUUUAUUAGCUUCUCCACAGAUCCGAUACUCUGUCAAGCAUAUUUUCCCUUCUGUUUUCUCACCCUCUACCUUGAGUGACCUUGGCGCAUGCGCAAUGCUUCCAUCAUUAGUUUUCAUAGAUCAAUUAUUGUUCUACCCCUUUCUCUCAAUGGUUUCUUAAUUCAGAAGGAAUUAAUUCUAGUAAGCAGUCUCAUCAUUAGUUUUUGUACCAAGCAGCAUCAUGGUACCUAACAUUGAUACUUUUCAAUUUCACAUAUUAAUGUGUGGAUUGGCGAAGAUACAAAACUUGACCCGCAUGACUAAUGACAUGGGUUUAUCUCCAGAUAGUCUUCGCGACAGUGUCGUGUGUCGUCUGAAUUCCAAGACUCUGCCUUCUAUUCUUCUUUCUACGGCAUCAUGGAUAUUUCUCUAGAACGGUCAGAAGCACAAAUGUCUAUUGAGGUGAAGAUUGUUUGUAAGUAGGCAAAGAAUUUUCAAUCCAAAGCCCACUGCCCACUUUGCUUGAAUUACAAUGAUAAGGCUGUCCCAUUGCGCACUAUACCAUCAAAGUCACUUUACAGGUCAUUCUUGUAAUCUCAUAUUCAAAAUGGCUCCACUCGCCUAAAGCUUUGAACAGAUGAAUCAGUGGUGGCCUUUGGCGGUGGCUACAAAAGUUGUUCGGUGUGGGUGUUAGGUAAAUAAAGAGUCCAUAAAGUUAGGCCUAUUCUUUGGAGCUACCCUGGACUGCUAUUGCUAAAGGACAAUAGCAGGCCCCAAGCUUCUGAAAUAAACACGACUCCUUAGGAUCUCCCGCCAGCUCUUUCAUUUUUCUUCCUCUCAUGGGGUUUUUCUGUGUUGCUAUUAAGAUGACAAAGUCCAUAAAUUACCUAUUUCUGCUGAACCUGCUGACCAGAUAAUGGUGGGGUUGGCUGUGACAUCUCACAUCGGUCGGAUAUAGGAAAGUUCAUGAUGCUAUAUAAGUAUAGACUUCUCUUAAACCUGAAGAUGCGUUUUAAAGUCGAGAGGACCCCUUUGGGUGCAAAGCGGACAUAUCUACACGGGUUUCUUGAUCUCAUUCCGAGGAACACCUCACUGGUAGUGCUUAUGUUCUGGUCCGGUCCCAGUAGUAGAAUAUGGAAGUUUGCUUGAAAGACUGGGGACAAAGCCAGGAAAUCAGAGAGCUGCCCAACUGUUGUCCUGUGUUUCACAAGGACUGCCUGGACACAUGGGUGGAUGCGGGUCAGGUUACAUGCCCUUUGUGUAGAUCCAUGCUGCUUCCUGGCUCCAGCUAAGGCAGAGAAAUUGAAGCAACACCCAACACAACACAUCUCAUCUACAACAUGACUCUCAACUGAUGCAGCUGGUUUUAGCCUGUCUUCACACUCAGAUUUUCAAUAUCAUUAGUAGUUGAAUCAACUCCCGAAUAGUUCUUUUUCCAUGUACAAAAAGUGGCAGCACUCUGUGGUGGAGCCGACAUGUUACUUUUCUGUCUUAAUGGCAAUGGAAAAGUGGCUUCCAUCAUGACUCUCUGCUAAGACAUGUAUAAAAACAAAAUUCAUCUUCAACUU